AUUGAACGCUGGCGGCAGGCCUAACACAUGCAAGUCGAGCGGAUGAAGGGAGCUUGCUCCUGGAUUCAGCGGCGGACGGGUGAGUAAUGCCUAGGAAUCUGCCUGGUAGUGGGGGAUAACGUCCGGAAACGGGCGCUAAUACCGCAUACGUCCUGAGGGAGAAAGUGGGGGAUCUUCGGACCUCACGCUAUCAGAUGAGCCUAGGUCGGAUUAGCUAGUUGGUGGGGUAAAGGCCUACCAAGGCGACGAUCCGUAACUGGUCUGAGAGGAUGAUCAGUCACACUGGAACUGAGAAGCGGUCCAGACUCCUACGGGAGGCAGCAGUGGGGAAUAUUGGACAAUGGGCGAAAGCCUGAUCCAGCCAUGCCGCGUGUGUGAAGAAGGUCUUCGGAUUGUAAAGCACUUUAAGUUGGGAGGAAGGGCAGUAAGUUAAUACCUUGCUGUUUUGACGUUACCAACAGAAUAAGCACCGGCUAACUUCGUG
rnacentral:rRNA from 1 species